rnacentral:rRNA from 1 species
UACGUAGGGUGCAAGCGUUAAUCGGAAUUACUGGGCGUAAAGCGUGCGCAGGCGGUUAUGCAAGACAGAGGUGAAAUCCCCGGGCGUCAACCUGGGAACGUGCCUUUGUGACUGCAAAGCUAGAGUGUGGCAGAGGGGGGUGGAAUUCCACGUGUAGCAGUGAAAUGCGUAGAGAUGUGGAGGAACACCGAUGGCGAAGGCAGCCCCCUGGGCCAAUACUGACGCUCAUGCACGAAAGCGUGGGGAGCAAACAGGAUUAGAUACCCUUGUAGU